UGAUGUAUUCAACGAGUAUAUAGCCUUGGCCGACAGGCCCGGAAAUCUUUGAAAUUCAUCGUGAUGGGAUAGAUCAUUGCAAUUGUUGGUCUUAAACGAGGAAUUCCUAGUAAGCGCGAGUCAUCAGCUCGCGUGACUACGUCCCUGCCCUUUGUACACACCGCCCGUCGCUCCUACCGAUUGAAUGGUCCGGUGAAGUGUUAGGAUCGUGGCGACGUGGGCGGUUCGCUGCCCGCGACGUCGCGAGAAUUCCACUGAACCUUAUCAUUUAGAGGAAGGAGAAGUCGUAACAAGGUUUCCGUAGGUGAACCUGCGGAAGGAUCAUUG
rnacentral:ncRNA from 1 species